rnacentral:misc_RNA from 1 species
AUUCAAUAAUAAAGAAGCACGGAAACUGAUUAAUACAUUUUCAUUUUGCUAGACAUGUAUCUGUGGAUACACAUCUUUUUUAUUUUGAAUCUCUGUUAGAGACAUGAUUUUUUUUCUUUUCUAUAGUUUGUGUGUGCGCAUGUGCAUAUGUGCUUGCCUAGCUUGCAUUGUCACUCACAUAGCUCCAUUUUCAUCUACUAAUUAGUACUAGGAACUGUUGGACAUAAAUUUUCAUCUCAUUUUUAUUGAUAGAGAGCACUGACAAGAAUUAGAACAGGGAAAUUUCAUGAAUCACGGAAGUAGCUAUCACAAAAGAAGCGGAAACGGUUUCCCGUUGACAUUACUGUGUCACUUCUUUUUGGUAGGGUAAGAAGCCAUUUUGUUGAUGCCGCAGAGCCCUUCUGGUUUUCCUGUGUUUCUCUUCAUUCUUAUGUAGCCCUUUUCACCCCAUUUUGGUCCCCAGGAGUUCUUCACAAUGAUGUAAUCUAGCCCUUUUGAUGAUCCGUAUCCAACUGCUGCUACUCCAUGAUCUAGAUCUGUUCCACACGGUCCACUGAACACCCCCCCGCUAUAGAAUUGGAAAUCUCUCCCAGAAGCCUCAAUAGCUACGCUAAGAGGUUGGUGAGCUAGUGCCUUCAGGAGACUUUCUUCAUCAUUCUGUGGCACAUCAUGGUAACCACUGAUAGUCACUGCCUCCAUCUCUUCCCUCUUUUCUUCACAAGUGCCUUCUUCCAUGAGAUAUGGAUAGUCUUCCUCCUUGUGAAGUCCUCCAUUGUUUACUAUGUAUUCAAAUGCAUAGUCCAUGAGGCCUCCAUUGCAGCCACUAUUGAAUGCAGUGUCACAAUCAAUCAACUCUUGCUCGGAAAGUGAAGUUAGGUUUCCUGUUACAAUCUGGUUUAUGCCCUCCACAGCAGCAACUGUCGAGAAUGCCCAACAGCUACCACAUGAACCCUGGUUCUUAACUGGAGUGACAGCUCCUUUCUUUCUCCAAUCGACAGAUUUGGGUAAGUCGACGACAUCUCUGUAACUGAAGCCUCCGGAAGUUCCUUUCCUUGGUAAGUCUGUGUUCAAUCCCAAGUAUUUGCUCUUGAACUCUUCAUGGGUAAGGUCAGCAAAUUCAUUCAGUCCAAGCCAGUAGGUAGUAACAUCCCUGUUUCUAUUAUCAAUGUGCUUCAAAUUAUCUUUGAAAACCUCAAACCGGUGUAGCUUCUGUUCAAUGCUUCUGUAGAUCUUGACAUGUUUAGACAUCCAUGAUUCAAAUAGCUCACUGAGUUUCUCCAUGGAAGUCAGGUGCUCUGGCGAGUAACCAACGAUGGAAAAAUCAUGAGCUACAACUGAACAGAUGAAGAGAGAUGCUAAAAAGGUAAGAAUGGAAAUGUUUGAAAAUGAGAGAGCCAUUUAGGCUGAGAAAAUUGAUAUUGAGAAG